UAUAUAAUUGUGCCACUGACCUUGCCGUAUUCACCUCCCUCCAGGUUUCCAGUGAACUCAGAUAAAUUGUUCUGUGGCCAAGAAUAUUGCAUCAGCCUUAGCAUAAAGUUUAUCUGAUGGCUUACUUGUGAAAUUUACAACCGACACAGAUACAAGCUAAUACCACGAGAGGGCACGAUAUAGUCUUUGCCUGUGGAGCACAAUGGAAAACGCUACAAGUCCCAUGUUAAAGGCAGGUUCCACAAUAGGGAACUAACUUUGAAUCCAGUCUCUCCUGUACUUCAUGUGAACAUUUGAAUUAUAAAAAUCUCAUUCAUACAUGCUGUUCCUCUAUUCUUGGCCAUCUCGCUCUUAUAACAUGACUGCAUAAAACUAAUGUCCAAAAAGUGUUUGUAAGACCUAC